rnacentral:rRNA from 1 species
AUGCGAGCCGAGAGCUCCAUAGCUAUGGAAGCUGAGCCCCUGCUCAAGCAUGCCCUAGGCCGCCUCAGCCUCUUCCCUACACCUCAUGAACCCUCGAAUCCCGCCGCCGCCCCCGCCGGCAUGGACGGCCGAGCCGAGAGCUCCAUGGCACGGCAGCCGAGCCCUGCUCGAGCUAGCCCAGGCCGCCUCACGCUUGGCGUCGGCGUGCUGGCCUGCGAGCAGGGCCAGCAAGGAGGCGCAGCUCCCGCGCUGCCUCCUGGGCAGGGCGACUGCAUCGGGCGGCGCGACGGACGGCCUCCAUGGACGACGACGAGCAUGACCUCGCGUUCUUCUUCACGCAGGUUUGCUCAUUCAUGGCGUCGGCGUGUCCGAGCACUUAUACGUGCUCAAGGUGAGCCACUCGCCCCUUUCCCACGCAGCCACAACUUGGCUCGCCCGGCACCUUGCCCGCGCCGCCGUCGUAUGCCAGCUUCGGCAAGGUGGCCACCACCUUGGUAG